rnacentral:rRNA from 1 species
UACAUGGGGUGCAAACGUUGCUCGGAAUUAUUGGGCGUAAAGCGCACGUAGGCGGUUCGUUUAAGUCGGAUGUGAAAGCCCUCGGCUCAACUGAGGAAGUGCACCCGAAACUGGCGAGCUUGAGUACGAAAGAGGAUCGCGGAAUUCCCGGUGUAGAGGUGAAAUUCGUAGAUAUCGGGAGGAACACCGGUGGCGAAGGCGGCGAUCUGGGUCGAUACUGACGCUGAGGUGCGAAAGCGUGGGGAGCAAACAGG